rnacentral:tRNA from 1 species
ACGCUACGGACUAGUCCAAUUUUACAUGUUAAUCCUAGCAACAAUUUGAAUUGUAGUAGAAAGAAAAUCCGUUGGCUUUAU